rnacentral:rRNA from 1 species
GAUGAACGCUGGCGGCGUGCCUAAUACAUGCAAGUCGAGCGAACAGACGAGGAGCUUGCUCCUCUGACGUUAGCGGCGGACGGGUGAGUAACACGUGGAUAACCUACCUAUAAGACUGGGAUAACUUCGGGAAACCGGAGCUAAUACCGGAUAAUAUAUUGCACCGCAUGGUUCAAUAGUGAAAGACGGCUUUGCUGUCACUUAUAGAUGGAUCCGCGCCGCAUUAGAUAGUUGGUAAGGUAACGGCUUACCAAGGCAACGAUGCGUAGACGACCUGACAGGGUGAUAGGCCGCCUUGGAACUUAGACACGGACCAGACUCCUAAGGGAGGCAGCAGUAGGGAAUGUUCCGCAGUGGGCGGAAGUCUGACGGAGCAACGCCGCGUGAGUGAUGAAAGUCUUCGGAUCGGAAAAAUGGGUUACUAGUGAAGAACAAAUGUGGAAGGAACUGUGCACGGCGUGACGGUACCUAAUCAGAAAGCAACGGCUAACUACGUG